CAUAGCGACUAUCGUGGCAUAUCAAUAAGCGGAGGAAAAGAAACUAACAAGGAUUCCCUUAGUAACGGCGAGUGAAGCGGGAAGAGCUCAAAUUUGAAAUCUUCAAGGUUCUACCUUGACGAAUUGUAGUUUAUAGAAGUGUUUUCUGUUAGUGGAGUGGCAAAAGUUCUUUGGAAUAGGACAUCAUAGAGGGUGAGAAUCCCGUAUUUGGUCAUUCCUCCUAGCGUUGUGAUACACUUUCAACGAGUCGGAUUGUUUGGGAAUGCAGUCCAAAAUGGGUGGUAAAUUUCAUCUAAAGCUAAAUAUUGGCGAGAGACCGAUAGCGAACAAGUACCGUGAGGGAAAGAUGAAAAGAACUUUGAAAAGAGAGUUAAACAGUACGUGAAAUUGUCAAAAGGGAAGCGUUUGACACCAGUGUUGUUUUUCCGAAAAUCAAUUACGAAUGUUUUAUUUUUGAGGAGUUAUGACUUCAUCGGCUUGCUUCCUCUCUUUACUGAAACUUUCUUAAUGCACUUUUCGGUUAACAAGUCAACAUCAAUUUCUUUUGUUGUAAAAGGGUAUGAGGAAGGUGGCUUUCUUUUCGGAGAAAGUGUUUAUAGCCUUGUAGCCUCUGCAAUCGGAGAGAUUGAGGUCUGCAGCGUAGAUCCUUCGGGGUUAGAUACAGUUUGUGCUAAGUUAUAGCUUUUCAUAGACAACUUGUUGACUAUGUUAGUCUUGUAGCUUACUCGCUGACUGCUAUUUUACCUACGCUUAGGAUGUUGAUAGUCACAGCGUGUAC
rnacentral:rRNA from 1 species